rnacentral:rRNA from 1 species
UACGGAGGGGGCUAGCGUUGUUCGGAAUUACUGGGCGUAAAGGGCGCGUAGGCGGAUUGUCAAGUCAGAGGUGAAAGCCCUGGGCUCAACCUGGGAACUGCCUUUGAAACUAAUGAUCUAGAGUCCGAGAGAGGAUGGCGGAAUUCCCAGUGUAGAGGUGAAAUUCGUAGAUAUUGGGAAGAACACCAGUGGCGAAGGCGGCCAUCUGGCUCGGUACUGACGCUGAGGCGCGAAAGCGUGGGGAGCAAACAGGAUUAGAAACCCCAGUAGUCC